rnacentral:rRNA from 1 species
CCUACGGGGGGCUGCAGUGGGGAAUAUUGCACAAUGGGGGAAACCCUGAUGCAGCGACGCCGCGUGAGUGAAGAAGUAAUUCGUUAUGUAAAGCUCUAUCAGCAGGGAAGAAAAUGACGGUACCUGAGUAAGAAGCCCCGGCUAACUACGUGCCAGCAGCCGCGGUAAUGCGUAGGGGGCAAGCGUUAUCCGGAUUUACUGGGUGGAAAGGGGGCGUAGACGGCAGUGCAAGUCUGGAGUGAAAGGCGGGGGCUCAACCCCCGGACUGCUCUUGAAACUGUACGGCUGGAGUGCAGGAGAGGUAAGUGGAAUUCCUAGUGUAGCGGGGAAAUGCGUAGAUAUUAGGAGGAACACCGGUGGCGAAGGCGGCUUGCUGGACUGUAACUGACGUUGAGGCUCGAAAGCGUGGGGAGCAAACAGGAUUAGAUACCCGAGUAGUC